ACUGAUUGCAACAGGAAAGGAAUUUCUCCCUUGCUGCCUUGUUCGGAUCGUCAGACCUCCCACUCUCUGGAUGUCAGAAACUGCAAGGUGAUGGUCCUGAGCAAGAUGGUCCAGAGCACUGUGUCCUGGUGACUGUAAACCUGAGAUACAGCAAGUGAACAGGUACUCUCUUCAGAGCCUGCAGAAUUCUGCUGUGAAGGUCCCAGAGAGAGCACAAAGCCCAACAGCUUGAUUUGCAAAAGGAGCUGUAAUUAUUUAUCUAGUUUAAUAGACACUGCUUUAUCUGUGUUCUAGUUCCUAAAUAUCACUGGAAUCCAAAUGUUUUUAUUUAGCACAAUUAAGGCAAUCAAAAGUAUUUAUUUAAAGCACUUAAUCACUUCAAGAAACAAGUGAAAGACUACUAAAAUAGAGAAUAAUUUUCCAGUGAAGUUUGAUAUCUCUGUAAACAUUUUAGAUGUAAUUUUCUUCUGACUCAUUUUUGAGUCCUCUGAGGAUCCAAAUAUCAAGUUUACUCUCAAUUUCCACCUGGGAAGCAAGUACUGUGAAUUGGGCUACAAGUGAAGAACUGAUUGCUUUAUGUAAUUUAAUUUAUACCAUUCUAACAUAUGUCAGAACACCACUGUAUUGUGGAGUGCAAUAAAAGGCUGACAUGUCUUUUAAGAAAAUCCACACUCACUGGGCUUCUCCAGAUUUUACACAUCCAUAUUGUGCAAACAUGAGCUACAUCUGAGUAUUACAGACAUGCAGGGCAGGCACAAGAAUCCCUGAGGGCACCUCUGAUCUGAAUGUUAAAUUAGCUUUAUUGAAGUAUGUCUUUUAAAUGAA